ACAAUGGAGUGUUUGAUCCUGGCACAGAUUGAACGCUGGCGGCGUGCUUAACACAUGCAAGUCGAACGAGAACGCACCUUCGGGUGUUAUUAAAGUGGCGAACGGGUGAGUAAUAGUUGGGAAAUCUG
rnacentral:rRNA from 1 species